UGUGGGAGGGGGCUUGCCCCCGAUAACAGUGGUUCAGUCACAGUUGCAUUGACUGAUACACCGCCAUCGGGGGCAAGCCCCCUCCCACA
rnacentral:misc_RNA from 1 species